UUUGUCUAGAUAACUUUUAGAGAUAGCGCACAUUAGAGACACGACAGUUUUUAGACAAUCUUGUUUCACAUAGACGAGUCGGACUUUACGAUUAAAGAGAAACAGUUGUGUCUACCACGCGGCGCAU